rnacentral:rRNA from 1 species
UGCCAGCAGCCGCGGUAAGACGAAGGUGGCGAGCGUUAUUCGGAUUUACUGGGCAUAAAGCGCGCGUAGGCGGCUCGAUCAGUCGGAGGUGAAAGCCCGCAGCUCAACUGCGGAACUGCCCCCGAUACUGUCGAGCUUGAGUGCAGGAGGGGUGACCGGAACUCCAGGUGUAGCGGUGAAAUGCGUAGAUAUCUGGAGGAACACCAGAGGCGAAGGCGGGUCACUGGACUGCAACUGACGCUGAGGUGCGAAAGCUAGGGGAGCGAACAGGAUUAGAUA